GACGAACGCUGGCGGCGUGCCUAACACAUGCAAGUCGAACGGAAAGGCCCGGCUUUUGUGGGGUGGUCGAGUGGCGAAGGGGUGAGUAACACGUGAGUAACCUGUACCUGACUGUGGGGGAACUUCACGAAACUGGGGCUAUUACCGCAUAGGAUCUCUUGCUGCAUGGUGGGCGUUGGAAAGUUUCGGCGGUUGGGGAUGGACUGGCAGCUUCUGAGCUUGUUGGUGGGGUAGUGGCUUACCAAGGCUACGACGGGUAGCAGGCCUGAGAGGGGAGACGGCGACAUUAGGACUGAGAUACGGCGCAGACUCGUAUGGGAGGCAACGGUGGAGAGUAUUGCACAGUGGGCGGGAGCCUGAUGCGACAACGCCGCGUGCGGGAUGACGGGCUUCGGGUUGUGAACCGCUUUCGCCUGAGCCGAAGCGAUAGUGACGGUAACGGGUAAAGAAGCACCGGCUAACUACGUG
rnacentral:rRNA from 1 species